rnacentral:lncRNA from 1 species
CACUACACGCCAUUUUGAUGUAAUAAGUUUCUGGCUUCAAUUUACAAAUAAUCAUAUUAAAUUAUACACUGCGUAAGCAGGAGAAAAAGAAUCUCCACGAUCCUGGAUCAAAUGGCAAGAUCCACCACUCCCGUGCUGUUAUUUAUCAGUCUCCACCAAAGAGAAUUAAUUUGUAAGAGACUUCCACUUUCAGCAUCCCGUAAAUUAUACCCAGUUACUGUGAAGUAAUGGGAGGAAAAUUUUAGUGAUUCAUUCAUAUUUUAUGAGAAACAAGACUGAAUUUUAUCCCUUCCUACAUAUCUUCACCCUAAAUCAACUAUUCACUGUGUCAUUGUUCUUCAAAAUCAUGCAAUUCACAUGCUUUUUUACCGAUCCAGGGAAAAUUUCAAAAUAUAAAUGCCAAAUUUGUUUCCCAUCUUGGAAGUGUGCAAGAAAAGGAGGAAAUAUGAAAAUCAAUAGGGGAGAAAGUGCUUGUGUGAAAGAGGUGCAACACACGCGGAUGUCAAAGCCAGGCCCAACCUCUACUCAGAAGACACUGAGGAACCUAUCUCUUUACACGUGUCAAUUAUGGAAUAAUCACGGACUAUGGACUAUUAUGAAGACACUAGAUUAUCAAAUAGCUACAUCUGUGUCAGAGAGAGAUCACAAGUAAGCAGAGCAGCAGGCAGAUAAAGAGGGGGAAGCAGGCUCCCCGCUGAGCAGAGAGCCCAAUGUGGGGCUUGAUCCCAGGACCCUGAGAUCAUGACCUGAGUCGAAGGCAGAGGCCCAACCCACUGAGCUACUCAGGAGCCCCUAAAAUCACUACUCUUUAAGUUCUGCUGUAGGAGGUGUGUAUCCCAUAACCAUGCUUUUCCUUGUAUUCUUUUGAAGGUUGUUUUUAUUGUCUCUCUGUAGCUGCUGGCAUAUUUUUCCUAGUCAAAAUGAUAAAGUGAUGACUUCCAGGUUAAUAAGAUCUAGAAUUAAUACUUUGCUGAUUCACUCUUUUAAUUCUUAGACAGCAGCGUAUUUAUAUAGUUUACUUGAUGACAGUUCAUAAGAAAGAAAUAUAUGAAAGUCCCAAAGCAUUUGAAUUGAAUAAUUGAAUCAUAUGUUACUUAUUAUAUGACUACUACAAAGAGCAAGAGACUAAUUCAGCAAAGCAAACAUCUCUUCAGAAAGAACUGGGACUGAAUGUUUCUGAUAUACUUGAGAUACAAGUUUGGGACUGAUGAAUUAACUAUUUUAAUCUAUUUUAAUCUUGACACACUACUGUGGUUUUUAUUUCUUGCUCUUCAUCCUCUCUCCUCCCUGUUCUGCUUUUUUUUUUUUUUUAAUUUUCAUACUUUUUUAUUUGGAAAUGAGAUAACACUGUUACAGAUACCUGACUAUAGCUGGCCUUAGGUGAAAUAAAAAUAAUUAGUAUUUACAGAGGGAUUCCAUUCUACGUUUUAUUCAUAAGGCAUGAACUACUUUUGAAAAGAAUAAAAGAAGCAGAGAACAAGAAAGUAUAAGACAUUUAGAAGAUUAUUACAGAGAAUACUGGAAGUAAAAGUAGAUGAAGUUUACCAGCUCACAGAGUGAAAAUGAGAAAGAAAAGUUUACAGACAAAGGAUUAAUCUAUAUAGGCAAAAUACAGAGAAAAUACGAAUUUUGAAAAAGGACAUCUUUUAGACAAACUGACACAGGUCUUUUAAACAGCCCAAUUAAGGCCAUGUAGGAGAAAUUUUAAAAUGGCCUGCUCCUUAGAAAGUCCUUGUG